AGAACGAACGCUGGCGGCAUGCCUAACACAUGCAAGUCGAACGAGACCUUCGGGUCUAGUGGCGCACGGGUGCGUAACGCGUGGGAAUCUGCCCUUAGGUACGGAAUAACAGUGAGAAAUUACUGCUAAUACCGUAUGAUGUCUUCGGACCAAAGAUUUAUCGCCUAGGGAUGAGCCCGCGUUGGAUUAGCUAGUUGGUGGGGUAAAGGCCUACCAAGGCGACGAUCCAUAGCUGGUCUGAGAGGAUGAUCAGCCACACUGGGACUGAGACACGGCCCAGACUCCUACGGGAGGCAGCAGUGGGGGAAUAUUGGACAAUGGGCGAAAGCCUGAUCCAGCAAUGCCGCGUGAGUGAAGAAGGCCUUCGGGUUGUAAAGCUCUUUACCUGGGAAGAUCAUGACGGUACCAGGAGAAUAAGCCCCGGCUAACUUCGUCGCCAGCAGCCGC
rnacentral:rRNA from 1 species